ACUCCUACGGGAGGCAGCAGUGGGGAAUAUUGGACAAUGGGCGCAAGCCUGAUCCAGCCAUGCCGCGUGAGUGAUGAAGGCCCUAGGGUUGUAAAGCUCUUUCACCGGUGAAGAUAAUGACGGUAACCGGAGAAGAAGCCCCGGCUAACUUCGUGCCAGCAGCCGCGGUAAUACGAAGGGGCUAGCGUUAAUCGGAAUUACUGGGGCGUAAAGCGCAUGCAGGCGGCCUGUUAAGUCAGAUGUGAAAGCCCGGGGCUUAACCUCGGAAUUGCAUUUGAAACUGGCAGGCUAGAGUCUUGUAGAGGGGGGUUAGAAUUUCAGGUGUAGCGGUGAAAUGCGUAGAGAUCUGAAGGAAUAUCAGUGGCGAAGGCGGCCCCCUGGACAAAGACUGACGCUCAGAUGCGAAAGCGUGGGGAGCAAACAGGAUUAGAUACCCUGGUAGCACAGAG
rnacentral:rRNA from 1 species